rnacentral:rRNA from 1 species
CCUACGGGGGGCAGCAGUGGGGAAUAUUGGACAAUGGGCGAAAGCCUGAUCCAGCCAUGCCGCGUGUGUGAAGAAGGCCUUCGGGUUGUAAAGCACUUUCAGUGGGGAAGAAAGCCUUGGGGCUAAUACCCUCGAGGAAGGACAUCACCCACAGAAGAAGCACCGGCUAACUCCGUGCCAGCAGCCGCGGUAAUACGGAGGGUGCGAGCGUUAAUCGGAAUUACUGGGCGUAAAGCGCGCGUAGGCGGUCUGAUAAGCCGGUUGUGAAAGCCCCGGGCUCAACCUGGGAACGACAUCCGGAACUGUCAGGCUAGAGUGCAGGAGAGGAAGGUAGAAUUCCCGGUGUAGCGGUGAAAUGCGUAGAGAUCGGGAGGAAUACCAGUGGCGAAGGCGGCCUUCUGGACUGACACUGACGCUGAGGUGCGAAAGCGUGGGUAGCAAACAGGAUUAGAUACCCUAGUAGUC